rnacentral:rRNA from 1 species
CACUCCUACGGGAGGUAGCAGUGGGGAAUAUUGGACAAUGGGCGCAAGCCUGAUCCAGCCAUGCCGCGUGAGUGAUGAAGGCCCUAGGGUUGUAAAGCUCUUUCACCGGUGAAGAUAAUGACGGUAACCGGAGAAGAAGCCCCGGCUAACUUCGUGCCAGCAGCCGCGGUAAUACGAAGGGGGCUAGCGUUGUUCGGAUUUACUGGGCGUAAAGCGCACGUAGGCGGACUAUUAAGUCAGGGGUGAAAUCCCGGGGCUCAACCCCGGAACUGCCUUUGAUACUGGUAGUCUUGAGUUCGAGAGAGGUGAGUGGAAUUCCGAGUGUAGAGGUGAAAUUCGUAGAUAUUCGGAGGAACACCAGUGGCGAAGGCGGCUCACUGGCUCGAUACUGACGCUGAGGUGCGAAAGCGUGGGGAGCAAACAGGAUUAGAUACCCCAGUAGUCCC